AUUGGCUUAUUGCAUUUUUUAUCCGUACACCCCCUGUUGAGGACACACUGCAUAAAUUCUCCUACCCCCCGGAUUUCCAAGUAAUUUUUUGUCAGAAGCCCUGGAAAAAUGUGGUUUGUAGAAGGGGGUGCCUGGAAUUCCAAUUGUGUUUAAUCAAUGACCCUUGGAAAUUCAUUUUUUUCCGCAUGACUCCGGAAUUCCACUGUGAAUAAGUUGAUCUCCCCUGGAUUUCCUUGCCACUUUUUGACUCCAUCCCUGGAAAAAUGUGGUUUGUAGAAGGGAGUGCCUGGAAUUCCAAGCACUUUUUUUUUCGAUGAUGACAAUCAAUGACCCUUGGAAAUGCAUUUUUUCCGCAUGACUCCGGAAUUCCACUGUGAAUAAGUUGAUCUCCCCUGGAAUUUCCAGUUCCGGUAUCAUUAUUUUAUCCCUUUUCCCGGAAUUUCCAUGUAAAUCUUAUUAUUUUGACCCCCACCCACUGGAAUUCCAGGUUGUUUUGACCCCCACCCACUGGAAUUCCAGGUUGUUUUGACCCCCA